AGCGAUUCUCCUGCCUCUGUCUCCCGAGUAGCUGGGACUACAGUCCCGAACCAACAGCCACAAGUGGCUCCGGAUCAGGGACAUGAAGGAAGAAGGUCUGCUGGAGCAGAGAAAGUGAAACUGACCGGACGAACGAGAAACCCCUGGACAAAUCUGCUUGCAGAGGAUAUAAGGAGAUGGACAAAAACUGUGUGGGUGCCCUCUAGGUGUGUGCAACCAUGGAAUGGGAGACUGGAGGGAUCCGUGGAUCCCAACUAUGCGUCUGGUUCCCCCAGUAUGAGCCAUGAGCCAGUGGAAUCUGAAUGCGAAGAUGGAAUGAGGGCCGACUGGAGUCACACUGACAUCAACCCCCAUAACAUGGGGACAGAUCAAGAAAACCACACAGGAAGCUGAAAAACUGCUGGAGCGCCAAGGUCAGGCAAAACCCAUGUUUAUGGUUUUUCAUAAACUCCAUGUUUAUGGCCAUGCUAGCUGUAAUAUUCUGUGAGGUUUGUUUUCCCUGUGCAGAGGUAAAAACGUAUUGGGCAUAUGUUCCUAACCCACUGCUAGUGCGACCGGUACUCUGGAGUGACACUCCUCCUGAGACACAUCAUGAUUGAGGAGCACAGGCACCAGGACCUCUAACUCCCCCUGACACAGAGCAAUUAGACUCUCAGAACAAUGGUAGCAAUUAUACCACUCCUUUAUCUGCUCCUUUAUGCCUCACCCAGGAUACAUCACUCAACUGCAGUUGCUUUGCAAUUCAAUCCCAAGCAUGGCUGAGUUACCUUGGAAAAAUUACAUACCUAUUAGGCCUUAGCUCUAUUAAUAUUACUGGUGUAGUUACUAAUCACUCCCAGCCCCAUUGCCCAAAUUGUACUGAUUAUACAGAAUGGGCUCCCUUUGAUAAUUCUCACCCCUCUCCUUGGACCCAGUAGCUUGGUCCCUUAGCUAGACAAUAGUCCAUGUUAAUGGGAAACAUUAUUGACUGGGGUCUCCGUGGUCAUUUAGAUGGGAGAGAUGAGAAUCAGACCUCAUGGCAUAAACUUCACUGGCACUGGUGGCGAAACUUUAACAUCCCUUCGCUACAACACACUGAGAUUCAAUCCCAAUCUGCCUUGCAACUUGCUUGGCACGGAACGGGCUUUAGCCCACCUUUGCCUCAAUGGCAUUAUCAAGGGAAGAGAAGUCCAAUUCAGGAGACAAUAUGGAAGGCAACACUCCCAUUUAUGAAUGGCAGCAUUUGGGUUGAGACACUAUCCAAUAAUAGUAAUAGUGCUCAAUGCAGUUUUAAUGUUACCUUUGUAGAAAAUGUUACCACUCAAUUUACAAUUUGUGUUUUUAAUCCCUAUGUCUUUCUAGCAGCAAAAAAGGACCAACUCCAGGUAAAGAUGCCUAAUUGACUUGUGAUUCCUGUCAACUCUAUCAUUGCCUUAAUCAUAGCACAAUGCAAACACACAGCAUAUCCACCCUAAUAAUUCUAGGUCUCAUUCCCGGAUUAUGGAUUCCUGUAAAUCUGUCCAAGCCUUGGGCCCUUGCUUUAUAUUUUGUAAAACUCCUUCUUACUCAGCUUACUCAUCAUGCUCGGAGAGCCUUAGGCAUGAUAAUUUUUGCUAUAGUCUCCUUAGUUACAUUAAUAACCUCUGUUGUGGUGUCCUCAGUAGUGCUGCACAGCUCUAUUUAAACAGCUCAAUAUGUAGAAAAUUGGACGCAUAUAGCCGACCAGGCAUGGAUGUUUCAAAAUAAAAUUAACACUGAGAUACAGACAGAAGUGGCAAUGUUAAAGACUACUGUUCUGUGGCUAGGAGAACAAGUACAAAGCUUGCAGUUGCAGCAGCAAUUGCGUUGUCAUUUUAACCAUACUCAUAUUUGUGUAACCAAUUUGGAAUACAAUCAAAGUAAAUAUCCGUGGAACCUUGUAAAGGCCCAUUUACAGGGAGCUUUUACAUCCAAUGUUACUUUUGAUAUAAAUGAUUUACAAAGUAGAAUCCUUAACUUGAAUAAGCAAACUCAAGCAGUUCAGCCCUCUUUAAAAUCUUGGGCAGAAUUCCAGCAAGGUUUAGAGAGCCUUAAUCCUUGGACCUACUUCAAACAGCACCUCAAUGUCUUUUUUGUAAUUAUCAGAAAAAUGUUAUGUUUCUGUUUUUUUGUUCAUAGUCUGUAAAAUCAGCUGGACCACCAGCUGGCAAUUGAGAGCUGCACAGCCUGCAAUUACCUUUAUUCAAUUAAUGCAAAAACAGAAAGGGGGAGAUGUUGGAGGCUGAAAGAAUGAGGGUUGUGACCAACUCAGUAUACCACUGGAGUCUAUAUGAGCAAACAGCAAACUGUUCUUAUAUAUGUAGGAUGUUGGCAAGCUGACAGCUAUGUCUGCCACCAGAAGGAAUGCUGAGGACAGUCACGCACCAGGUGCAGUGUUCCUUGUAGUUAUCUAUAGGAACAUCUGGAGCCUGUUGUAUAAAGAAAGCAAUUAUGUGAGCCUGUGAUAAAUCAAGCAGCUGACCAACCAUUACCUCUUCCUCCCUGUUGAUUCUACCUAAUAAAUAUGAAAGCUGUAGAAGCUCAGGGCCCUUAUUCCCUAGAAGGAGGGAGCCCCCGACUCCUUCUUUAAAACAGAUCCUUUUCUUUGUCUUCAUUUCUGCGUUCAUCCUCCUUCAUUCAGUCCCGAACCGACAGCCACAUCUGUGGGUCAUGCAGUGUCUAAUUCUCCCAGAGAGUUCACCUGGUCCAGCACCAGCUGUCCCCACACAGGGGACGAGCUCUGCAGUCUCUGACUGCAACCACCUCUUCCACCUGAGGAGGGUGCUGUCCAUGCGCAUAUGCGGAUGUGUGCACAGAUGUGGGUGCCAGUUUGCAUUCCUCUUCCUUGUGGCGACCACCAGGCACAUGCACUUGGGUGAACACUGCCACCACUGCCUACAGUGUGGCACUCCCCUUGCUGACUGGGAAACUUGCUCCAGCACCAGCUUAUCCACACAGGAGAGAAGCCCUACUGGUGCUUUGACUGCGUGUGGCGCAUGCACCAAAGAGGCUCCCUUGGCCAUUCAUAGGCACACACAUACAGGUGAGAAGCCUCAGUCCUGCUCAGAGUGUGGCAUCUGCUUCUCCUGCUUAAAGAAAGAAGAAAAAAAUACAUAAAAGCUUGGCUUUUCCUUUUUUAGACGGAGUCUCGCUUUAUCCCCUAGG